AUGGAACCAUACAUCUUUAAGUCUUUAGCAUCAUAUCUUAGAAGGAAAGAAUUGAUAAAAGACACAAGGCUCAAGGUGGAGGAGAAGUUAGCAUUCUUCAUGUACAUGUUCUCACAUAAUUCAUCAUAUGAAGAUUUUCAACUAGAAUUCAGACAUAGUGGAUCCACCUUUCAUGAGUACAUCAACGAGUUCUUUGAUAUCAUCCCUGCCCUAUGUACUCACUUUGUGGAGCCUCCGCCCAUUGACGAACCUCAUCCAAUAAUUGCUACCGAUGAACGAUUAUAUCCAUACUUCAAGGUUCUUAUCUUGACACUUAAAAAGAAUCCCUUAUCUUUCUUCAUUAAAAUUUCAAAAAUUAAUUUGCAGUCUAUUUUUUCAGAAUUGUAUAGGUGCUAUUGA
rnacentral:rRNA from 1 species